UCUGAGCUAUCCCUGAUGCACCAGCAAGGAAGAGAAUAAACUCCUUCGUUUCCCAACAUCCUUGCUGAGGGCUUGGAGGGACAGCUCUCACUCAAUUUUCCAGCCUGGUAAGGCUUUGAACAUGAAACAGACGUGUCCCCGGGGCUCUUACAAAAUGAGCCACAGCAGGCUGAUGUCAGGGCAUGGAUUCAUGGGCUGCCGGGGGGUUAACAUCUCUUGCAAUUCCAAAUAAGAAAAAAGCCUGCAUUCUUCUUCAUUCCUCCCAUUUCACACAUCCCUGGCAGCUGGGUUUCCCAAUGCUUCAUUGAGGCCAAUGUGCGUGAAGGAAUGGAUCAGCAGGAGCAGGCCAUCAGGCGGCCAUUUUAAGCCCUUGGCCUCCAUCCCCACUCCCCACGCUGGGGCGAGACAGACAGGCCUUUGUGUGCCUGGAGCCGGCUAAGCCAGGAUGUGACUGUGAGCUGGAAUCUGACCUUUCAUGGGCUCCAGCACCUGUCAGAAAAACGAACAAGCUUGGGGUGUUUUUUCCGCUCCGGACUUAAAUGCCAGUUUUGUGACUCCCUCACAGUGGAACUGUGCCAAGGCAGUUGUGGUCAACUCCAGCUCUCCGAGGAGCAGACCUGAGACGAUAGUGGUCCAAGGCUAAGAAGUAGCAGCUGAAGUGGAAGGCAAUGUCUGCAGUUACACAGAUGGCUGGCCCAGAGCUCGAGACAUGCAGGAGAUGUCAAAGAAAAAAAAUAAAAAUCGAAUCCUCAUUCUCAAGGCUAUCGAUAAUUUAAAAGUUCAUAAAUAUUGAUCCCAUAAAAUCUGAUUUUGGAAUCACAUGGAUUCCAAAAUAAACAAAAUUGUAUUUUAGAUGUGAAGUUUAUGUUUCUUUGACUUUACCACAUCUUGUGAAAAUGGAUGUAUAGAUUUUUACCAAUUUUGGAGGGUGUGAUGAGGGUGACAGAAAAUGUAGGCUCUGCCCUGGGAGAGAGCUUGAAGAGAUAAGUAAUCAUUUGCCAGAGGGAAUGAAACUGAAAUCUAGUGACAGGUAGCUGUGCCUGGCAGGCAGGGAGGAGUGGCCCUCGAACUAAGAGGCUGGGCCAAGAAAACAAAUGGCGGUGGAUGAGCCCCACAUUGGAACGUGGUUGUUGAUUUGCAACAUGCUGCUUCCUGUAGAGCAACUCUGGGUAGUCAGCUGCAAAGUGAGGAAAACAGAUUUAUUCCUUUAACUAUUCUGAAGAAUACAAACUAAACCAGUUAGUACACACAAAUAGCCUGUAAUGCUAUAAUGUCCAUUAUCUUUAUUUAGUUUGUUU
rnacentral:lncRNA from 10 species